rnacentral:rRNA from 1 species
UACGUAGGGUGCAAGCGUUGUCCGGAAUUAUUGGGCAUAAAGAGCUCGUAGGCGGUUUGUCGCGUCUGCUGUGAAAACUCGGGGCUUAACCCCGGGCCUGCAGUGGGUACGGGCAGACUAGAGUGCGGUAGGGGAGAUCGGAAUUCCUGGUGUAGCGGUGAAAUGCGCAGAUAUCAGGAGGAACACCGGUGGCGAAGGCGGAUCUCUGGGCCGAUACUGACGCUGAGGAGCGAAAGCGUGGGGAGCGAACAGG